rnacentral:lncRNA from 1 species
ACUAUCUUUCUUCGGAUUUUUCACCAUCUCUUCUCUUUGGUUCUGCCUAAGGGUGGCUUGAUCUCCUGGGUCAUUGAACCCAUUUAUGAUGUUGUGUACUCCAUAACUUUGAAGAAAAGCUCCAUCUAAGAAUGCCAAUACUGGAAGUUUCCCUGCCCAUCAAACUUAUGCACCAGGCAAUGCACAAACUCGUUUAUGUUUGCCAUCCCUCCUGAGCCUAAGCUCUGAUACCAGACGUUGGAAAUAAAAAAUUGAAACACAACCCAACAACAGAUUAACUCACCAGUCAAGCCAACACAUAAUCUCACACAACAAUUAAAGAGAGAACAAGAGAGAGAUGAACUGGAGCAUAAAGGAAGUGAUAGCUUCAAUUCAUUGUUCUGAGCCAAAAUACAAAGAAGCAGCAGCACCAAUAUAAAGAAGGGAUGAGCAACAAAAACAAGAGAGAAGAGAGAAGCCUUGAAGCUUCAGAACACUAAGCGGCAGGUUAUCUUCUUGAGAAACCAAAAGUACCUGCUGAAGCAGAAAGGGUUUUACAACAAACAAAACCCACCUCCAAUUCCACCUCCCUCACCUCCUUCUCCAUGUCCUGCGUCUUCUCUGUCCUCGUCGAGAUCGCUUCAAGCCUAGACUUCGACCUCUGCUUCAU